rnacentral:lncRNA from 1 species
CUUUGAGCGCUUCCCACAGAUCAUCCACCCUCUGCCUACCUUCACCCUCCCCACCACUCCUCUCUGAGGGGAGAUCGCCUUGCUGCUGCGCAUAGGCUCACAGGGAACCAUGCCCACUCAGGCUAGCCCAUCCUCUGAGAAACACAGCCCUCAGGUCCGAAUACUUAGCUGGCCAUUAGCGAGCUAGUCGGCUGUUAGACUUGUCUGUGCCCUUCCAGAGAUCCUCACUGACUUCUGUCUACAUUGAUCACUUCAUGGAUUGGGGGGACCGGACCCGAGGCCUAGAGAAGUGAAGGGACCUGAGGCCACUAGCAGAAGAGCAUCGUUUGUCUUGUCCCCGCCCACCGGCAUUUUCCUGUGGAGUUCCAGCUAGCAAGCGGCAAGUCCACCGUGACUCCUGGCACCACUUACUCCUGUAGGCUGGAGGCCAGCCAGAAGGCUGUGAGGGGCCAGGUGGGGUCAGGCAUUUGAUUCUGCCUCCUCGUGCUGGGAUCUGCCUGUCCUACUCAGUCUGUCUGCAUGCCAACGUCCCGCCCUGGCCGUGGGUAGCAUGACCUCCACUCUGAUGCCCAUCACUCAAAGCCUUGCUCCCCUCCAUCCUGGCAUGCUGCUCUGGACGGCCAGCACCUCCAAAGGCCUCCCAAGGAGCAGACUUCACAGCUCUACUGUCUGAAACUGUAGGGAGCCGGCACAGGAAGCGGGGAGCAGGAUAAGAUGCUGCCUGGAUGCCUGAGGAGUGUGGCACCGCGGGAAGUACAUGUACAUGGCUCUGUGGGUCCACGGCUGUCCCUACAGGGAGAGUGUGGGUUGGGUGAGUGAGUGUGCGCGCUGCCACGCCAGAAAGAUCUGUAAGGCUCCAAGACUGCCAGCAGCCCUAGUCAGAGUGUGGCAGGGGAGGGGGGUGGGGGCUGCAAUUCCUCUUCCCAGGGCAUGCCCUCCAGCGCCUACCGGGACAUGCCAGGUGAGCCCCUGGCCUGCGGGCUCUCUGAUGAUGAGGACGACUUUCACCCGAGUGCCAGGUCCACGCCCUCAAGCAGCACCCCCAGCUCCCGCCCAGCUUCCCUGGGGUACAGUGGAGCUGCCGGGCCCCGGCCCAUCACCCAGAGCAAGCUGGCCACUGCCCUGGCCCUGGCCAGCACUCCGGAGAGCAGCUCUCACACACCGACUCCUGGUACCCAGCAUGGCCCCUAAACACCAGUCUCCGCUUCCAUCCCACAUAAAGAAACCAAAACUGACUCCUGCCUCCAGGCCAGACAAAACGUCUCCUCUGAACUUGCUGAAGGAAGAGAAAGAACAGCAAGAAGCAACUGAACAUAUUGAUGGAGUACAAGAUGAAAUAGACAGACUUAGUGAACAAGCCAGUGAGGAGAUUUUGAAAGUCGAACAGAAAUAUAACAAAUUCCGCCAAUAAUUUUUUCAGAAGAAGUUGGAAUUGAUUGCCAAAAUCCCAAAUUUGGGGGUAACAACAUUUGUUAACCAUCCGCAAGCGUCUGCACUGCUUGGGAAGGAAGAUGAGGCGCUGCCUUAUUUGACAAGCGUUGAAGUGACGGAAUUUGAAGAUAUUAAAUCAGGUUACAGAAUAGAUUUUUAUCUUGAUGAAAAUAGAAUAUUAUUUUCACUUACUUUGAAAAUAAAGUUGUCUCCAAACACUUACAUCUACAUGAGAGUGGCGAUCUAUCUUCAAAGUCCACUGAAGUCAAAUGGAAAUCCAGAAAGGAUUUCACUAAGUGAUCAAGUCAAAUGCAGAAGAAAGCCAGCCGGAAGAGACAGCAUGAGGAACCAGAGAGCUUCUUCACCUGGUUUAUUGAUCAUUCUGAUGCAGGUGCAGAUGAGCUAGGAGAGGUCAUCAAAGAUGAUAUUUGGCCAAGUCCGUUACAGUGGUGCUUGUUUCCUGCCAUGGAUGAUGAGGAAGGGGAAGGAGAAGAAGGUGAUGGUGACAGUGAAGAGGAAGAAGGAUUGGAAGAUAUUGAUGAAGGAGAUUAGGAUGAAAGUGAAAAAGAUGAGGCGGAGGAAGAUGAAGGAGACGAGGACUAAUGGAACAUGGAUGGAUUCCAACCUUCCUUUUUAAAUCUUCUCCAGUCCCUGGGAGCAAGUUGAAGUCUUUUUUUUCUCCUCCUGUGCUCACUCACUCUGUUUUUAAGGUCUCUUUUCUCUUUUAUACCAAGGUUCACAACUUAUUUGGGAAUAUCUUGAGCAGAAUUCAAGGGGAAAGGAAUUUCUACCCCUUUCUAUUCCAAAUUCAUUUUUAUCCCUUACUGUCACAACAAAGGCUAUAGAAUCAACACCACCAUGCUCUGUGGGAAAAAAGAAAAACCUUCUGCUCUCCUGGCUCUGCUGGAAGCUGGAGGGUCCUAGGCCUCUGUGUGAUAGUGCAUAGAAUAGUGCCUUUCCCCCUCCUUUCUCUGUAUAUUGUGUUCAGAGACUACAUUGUGUCUCUACGUGAAUAUGGACAGUUAGCAUUUACCAAUAUAUGUCUGUCUACUUUCUCUUUUUAAAAAAGAAAAAAGACUUUUUAAAAAUGGGGUUAUAGAAGGUCAGCAAAAGGUGGGUUUGAGAUGUUUGGGUGGGUUAAGUGAGUAUUUUGACAACAUGGCUACUCCUUUGGCAUGUUAAAUUGUGAUGUUUAAUGGAUGUACUUUCAGUUUAAGAUGACACUUUUGAAACAAAAAAGUGAAAGUGAAAGUCACUCAGUUGUGUCGGACUCUUUGCGACUAUACAGUCCAAGGAAUUCUCCAGGCCAGAAUACUGGAGUGGGUAACCUUUCCCUUCUCCAGGGGAUCUUCCCAGCUCAAGGAUCAAACCCAGGUCUCCUGCAUUGCAGGUAGAUUCUUUACCAGCUGAGCUACCAGGGAAACUCCCCUUUUAAAACAAAAUUCUCUCCUAAUAACUUGAGCCCUGCCUCUAGAUGGGAGAAUCAACAGGACCUAUAGGAAGUUACCUGCAAUUGACAUUCCCUAUUGUAAUUUUGUUCCUGUAUAUUUUUAAAUGUUUCUUUUUGCUUCACUGAAAAGUAAAAAUGAUGCUCAGUUUUUAAUGUUAAAAGUGUACAAGUUGCUUUGUUACAAUAAAACUAAAUGUGUU